UGGAGAAACAAAAGGUCAGGAACGGCCAACGUCCCUACUGGCCACAGUCUAGCCCCAAUCUGCAAGACAGAGCCAGCCGCCCCGGGGGAAUUCCCGCCUGGUGGGACUCCACGUCACCAGCCCCCAGCUGCUCAGGGUACAGCCCCUCGUGAGAACCGAGCCACAGUCAUGUUUCCUACAUCAGCCUCCUGCUCAGGGGUUUGUACAGAGACCACUGCCAGCCCUCUAGGUGGUCCCUGCAAAGAAAGUCCCAGCUCCCAAGGCUCCAAAUGGACAGGGCACCAUGUUGACCCCUUCGUUGGCCUCCAGUUCGCCGACUGUAACAUGUUUCAUCCAGUUCAGGACGUUUAUUUAUUUCCAACUUGCAUACAAAACAUACUGAGAAACUAAAACCAUCGUUAAAAGUGAAGACACGUUGAGACAGGUAUCUCGACCUGCCAAGUAUACAGCUAAAGCUGAGUUCAUAAAAAGGGAUGAUUUGGCCGACGGUCAUCUGCCAGAUUCUGAUGAUGAUUCAGAAGUCAGUGUGGAAGAAGAUCAGAGGGAGAGGCAGGCGCUCUUUGACUUAUCAAGCUGCUCCCUGAGGCCCAAAAGCUUCAAGUGUCAGACUUGUAAAAAGUCAUAUAUAGGGAAGUGGGGACUGGCCCAGCAUUUUAAACUUAAUCCAGGCCAUGGCCAGCUGGACCCUGAGAUGGUGCUAUCUGAGAAAGCCAAUGGGAGCACCCUCCGGGGGUGCACAGAGGAAAGGACGCUCAGCCUGACCUUCCCGAGGCUGUCCGUGCCAGCGGCUCCGCGUGAGGGAGGGGCCCGCUCCUGCUUGGUGAGAGAGUCAGCACGCGGUGGCCUGGGUGAACUGUCACCCCUACAACUCAGCUUGCAACCAGCCCUGGCCACCACCAGUUUCCCCACACUGAGCUGAAUAUUGGACAUGCCCAUCUUAGACAUUCCAGCCCAUUCUGAAAUUCCACAUCGAUUCACCCGACAAAGUCUGAAGUUCCAGGGCAAUUUAUCUGGAAAAGCUCACCUGGAAUCAUGUGUCAUUUCAACCAACAACUGUUGAAGAGGACGUGGCAUCAAAACCAAGGUUAUCAAUUAUUUAUAAGGGUUGUGUGGUGGUUGGUCCAAGCAUCUCUCCUUCAUGCCAUCACUCCUUUCAAGAGCUGCCUCUAUUUUCUAAUUUAGCACAGGAAUUUAGAUGCCCCUAAAUAAGUAGGCAUCCAGUAUCUGCCCACACCAGUUUUAGUGAGAGUACAUAUGGAGACACUACCACCACCCCUGCUCUCCUACUGCAUACCCCACCAUGCCAAAGCAUGGUGGCUCACACCUGUAAUCCCAGUGCUUUGGGAGGCCAAAGAGGAGGAACACUUGAGGCCAGAAGUAUGAGACCAGCCUGGGCAACAUAGUGAGACCUCAUUUCUAUAAAUAAGUUAAAAAAACAAAAAAAUAGGGCAUAGUGGUGCACAUGUGUGGUCCCAGUUACUCAGCAGGCUGAGGCUGGAAGAUCACUUGAGCCCAGGAGUUUGAGGCUGCAGUGAGCUAGGAUUAUGCCACUGCACUCUAGCCUGGGCAACAGAGAGAGACCCCAUCUCUAAAAAGAGGGAGAAGAAGGAAGGAGGAGGAAGAAGAGGAAGAGGAGGAGGAGAAAUACUGCUCUUUCUCAGGCCCAAGGUAAAAAGGUUUUUGGUCUCAUGUUGACCAGAAAGACAUUGAUAUUUAAUUAAGCAAUAUAAAAAGGCUCAUUGUUAGGAUUAAAGAGUAAGUAAAAUCAAUAUUGAGAUAGGAGGAUGGAGGACACCAACUGAGUUCCGAUCCCAAUGAAGAGGAGAAAAAGCUACAACUAUCUAGGUGAAAUAUCUACUUAUCCUAGAAGAAGCCUUUUGACAGCAACAUAAAAUUCAUACCUAUAGGUUUUUAAUUCCUAUGGAUGCCGUAGCAAAUAACAAAAACUUGGAUGGUGUAAAGUAACAGAUGUUUACUCUUUUCCAGUAUUGGAGACCAGGAAUCUGAGAUCAAGGUGUGGGCAGGGGUGCGCUCCCCCUGGAGGUUCUAGGAGAGGAUCCUUCCUGCCUCUUCCAGCUCCUGGUGGCUCCAGGUGUCCCUGGGCUUGUGGCCACAUCACUACAUUCUCUGCCUCCAUCUCCACGUGACCUUUUCCUCUGUGUCUGUGUCUCCUCUUCUGUCUCUUAGAAGGACACUGGUCAUUGGAUUUAAAGGCCACCUGGGUAAUUUAUAGUGAUCUAAUCUCAAGAAUCUUUCCUUAAUUACAUGCAAAUACUCUUUAUCCAAAUUAGUUUGCAUUCACAAAUUCUGGAGCUUAGUACUUGGACAUAUAUUUUGGGGGGUUGAUGGUUGGAGGGGCUUUUAUUCAACUCAGUACAUCUUAAUAAGGAAUUAAUGCCCCCCAACUUGCCUUACAAGUCAUAUAUUAAAAACAAUGUUGGCCUGGCACAGUGGCUCAUGCCCGUAAUCUCAACACUUUGGGAAGCCAAGGGAGGAGGAUCACUUGAGCCCAGGAGUUGGAGACCAGCCUGGAUAACAAAGGGAGACCCAGUUUCUACAAAAUAUUUAAAAAUUAGCCAGGCAUGAUGGUGCAUGCCUGUGGUCCUAGCUAUUCAGGAAACUGAGGUGGGAGGAUCACUUGAGCCUGGAAGUUCAAGACAGCAGUGAGCUAUGCUCACACCACUGCACUCCAUCCUGGGCAACAGAGCUGGACUCUGUCUCAAAAAACAUAACACUAAAACAUCAAAAUUAAAAAAAAAAAAACAAUGAAAGUAGCCUCCACUUACAAACUAAUUACUCUUUCUUGAAAAUAUUACACUUUUUUUCUUCUAUAUCUCUACUCCUAGCUCUCAACACCUUUCUUAAGCCCACAUCAUAACCUGUCUUGCAUAACUUUGUGAGUGCCCAACGUUUCACUGUACAAGAUUGUAGAGCUGCAUGCUUCUUAAGAAUAAAUCCACACUUUAGGUACCAGUAAAUCCAUGCAAUGCCUCAGACGUUAUAACCAAAUAAUGCCUGGAAAAUCGACAUGAAUUUAUGUGA
rnacentral:lncRNA from 1 species